rnacentral:lncRNA from 1 species
AGCCCAAGCUGCGGGCCCUGGGAGUGGAGACGCGGAGCUGCGGUCGCCGCUUUCUGGGCUCGCUCACCAGCCCGGGUGGAGUCCCGAGGUCUGCGCGUUUGUGCCGCUCUCCCCGCCUCGGUAACCUGCUCCUCCCUAGCGGGUGUCCUGGGCCGCCUGGAAGGGACUACUCGGCGGGUCGGCAGCCGGAAAGGAAUUCGGAGAGUGGGGGCGGAGGCGUGAUUAAAAUGUUAAGUGUGCCCGGAGGGCGCUGGGCGAUCCCUGGAGCUGAAAUCUCCGGGAAGGGAAGCUGCUUUAGGGCCGCGAGGCCCCCACCCCUAAAAUAGGCACUUUUCAGCCUCAGAAUUGGUCACUUUUUCCUGUACGUUCCCACGUUUUACUUGUAUCUGUUAUUAACGUGGAUUGCUUUAGAAUGGUUUUCAGCAACUCCAGUUUACUCUGAGUCCCUUAAGGACGGGAACUGUCUUUCAAUCCUGUACUCCCAGUGCCUGAGCCUGCCUAAAAAUGUUAGAAACUCAAUGCUGGAAUUGUAAUGGAUGUUUAAAAGCAUACAGCAGGUCCUGGGAGUGGCCCCCUAUAAUAAAUUCUUACCUCUUCGGGAGUCUAGAAUGCGUGGAGAACCCAAACGGGUCUGCUCUUCAGUGAUGGCCGUUUCUGAAGCGUCCUUCACCAAAAGAAUUUGGUGAAAAAUGAGUAAUGUGAACUACAAGAUUAUUACUAGGUGAUCAGUAACAGUAGGAUAGGUAUGCGUCAUUAUUCGAGGGUGUGACCCUCCCAUGUUCCUGUAGUAGACUUUUUAAGGCGGUGUUAUCUUUUGCAUUGGUUGAACCACAUAGCGUCAAUCCGGUAUUUCCCCUCCCUCUCAAAAACUGAGUUACAUAGGAGCCAAAGAAGAGUGGUGAAUAUUUUCUCUAAGCAGGGUUAUUUAUUUAACCGUAGAGAACAGCCCUACACAUAAAAAAACAUAAAUCUUAAGUUGGACUUUUUUUAAGUCUACUGUUUUAAAGCUAAAUAAACAAAAACCAACAUAAAAAUUUUAAAUAAGAGGCUUAAUUCUCCCUAUUGAAAAUGGAGGAUGAGAUUUCCCGUCCCUUUCUCUCCGAGCAUUUGUCUUAGAAAACUUAAGUACUUUCUUAAUUGUUAAGUACUUUCUCAACUCUUUGAAAUGUGUAUAAAUCCACUUGAGGACUAGAUAGGUCUUGUCAACUGUAUGCUCAGUCAGGAAUGUCUCUGGACCUUUUUUUUUUUUUUUUUUUUGAAAUGCUGCACAUAUCAACGGAGUAGCAUCCUUCCCUAUCUCCCAGUUUCUGUGAGAGAGUAGGAGCGUAACUUCGGUGAGCAACUUGCUCCGUGUUGCAAAACUACCUUCCGUCAUAAAGACAGGAGAAGUUUGUUUUUCCUCUGGAUAAAACCAAUUAACUAACACAGAUGGUCACCCCAAUUAUUAAGUAAAGUUAAUGUCACAAAUGUCAGGUCCUCUUACUUGAGGACUAGUUAUUGUUCAACUUGAAAACGUGUAUGUAAUGGGUCG